AGCAGCAGAGGUGAACACAUAACGUAUUCAACCCUCGCCUUUUACUAGAGUUGACCGUGGGUCUGCCUCAUAAAAUGCUGCUUGCCAAUUUUUCAGCCUAAUGGUCCCUCCAGGACUCC
rnacentral:snRNA from 1 species